AGCCUCGAACUCACGGCAAUCCUGCUGCCUCUAUGUCUCCUGAGUGCUGGGAUUAAAGGCGUGUGCCACCAUACCCUGCUCUUUGGUUUUUAAGAUGGGAUCCCUAGCCCAGACUGGCCUCCAACUCAAGGCAGUCCCUGCUCAGCCUCCCAAUAGCCAGGAUUAUAUACGGGCAUGAAUAUCUCGAAAAGAAGGGGCAAAUUGUUUAUCUUCAGAAUUUAUUUAAAUGGACCUAGUGCUACAGGAUGCUAAGACUAAGUGCAUGAUUUCAUUAUUGAGAACUGAUCCUUGACUCAAGUCUGUGUCAUGGAAGUAUGAACACUCUUGCAUCCCCUUUGCUAGCUGGUUCUCACGGGUGUGGCAGACCUGUGGAUAUUGCAACACUGUGUCAUCUACAGAGAUCACUCUCAAGCAUUGGGCAACUGAAUUACAAAAAUUAUUUUAUGUAAUGGAUUGGCCUACAAAACAAAAUCACAUUAAGAAUCAUGCCCUGGAUAAGUUCACGGAUAUUGUGCGCUGCUUUCCAAACAAGUUUUACCCCUGUCCUACAAGCCCAGGUUUAAAAAAAAAAAAAAGGACUACCAAGGGGCUCGUUCGCA